CGACGGAAGAAGAUCAUAGCACCACGAGGUCCACGUAGAGACUUGUGAGUGGUGGUAGUAACAACAUCAGCAUAUUCAAAGGGGGAAGGGAUAACACCAGCUGAGACAAGACCAGAAAUAUGAGCCAUGUCAACGACCAAGUAUGCGUUAACGCUGUCAGCAAUUUGUCGCAUACGAGCGUAGUCAAUGAGACGGCAAUAAGCAGAAGUACCAGCAACAAGGAUCUUGGGACGGAAUAACUGAGCGUCGUGCUCCAACAUGUCAUAGUCAAUCAAACCGGUGUUAGGAUCAACACGGUAGGGCAUAGACUCAAAGUAAGUAGAAACAGCACUAAUCUUCUUGGUAUCAGUUUGAUAACCGUGAGAAAGAUGGCCACCUGAAGGCAAGUCAAGACCCAUUAAACGACCGUGAGGAGGCAUAAUGGCUUGAUAAACUUGCAUGUUAGCGGGGGAACCGGAAAGACAUUGAACGUUGACACCCCAUUUAGCAGGAUCAAGAUUGAAGGCAGCAAGUGCACGCUCUUGGCAAAGAGUUUCAAUUUGAUCGAUAAACUUGUUACCACCAUAGUAACGAGCACCAGGAUAACCCUCUGAAUACUUGUUGCUCAUGACACUUCCAAGAGCAUCCAUAACAGCACGAGAGGUGAAGUUCUCAGAGGCGAUAAGAACAACAGA